UAUAAUAAUUAUUGUUAUAUAAAAUUUAUAACAUCAAAUAAAUAGAUAGUUAACAAGGUGAGCCCAAUCCAAGCUCGAGCUCUAGAAAUAGAGAUUAAUACAAGCUCGAGCGUAAAAUCCUGUGCAAAUACGUUGAAGAACUCGCCCCAGAGUAUGAAAAGGCUGCAUCAUUGCUGAGCACUCAUGGUCCUCUAAUUGUUCUUGCAAAAAUGGAUGGUAGUGCGGAAGAGAAUAAAGAAGUUGCUGAUCAGUUCGAGUUUCUAGCUGCUUGUAGACAACCUCGGGUUUUCUGUAUUAUCACCGAGUACCUUUCAGAAGGUUCAUUAAGGGCGUACUUGCAUAAGCUUUAGGAUAAUACGAGAAAAGAGAGAACAUCUUCCGUUAGAAAAGCUUAACUUACCGUUGGAUGGCUCCCGAGAUGAUUAAACGGAAAUCCUACGGCCGAAAAGUUGAUGUGUACGGAUUUGGGCUCAUUUUAUGGGAGAUGGUGGCCGGGACUAUCCCAUAUAAAGAUAUGACUCCGAUACAAGUUGCAUUUGCCGUAGUUCAUAAG
rnacentral:lncRNA from 1 species